GAAGACCCAUCCAAUUGGCGGGUGGGUUGAGGGGAGGAUGGCAUCAAGGAAAUCUUCCUGGAGGAGGGGCUGAUUAUUCCCAUUCUGAGAACUGGUAGAUCCUGGAUGGAACUGGAGGGAAGGAUGGUUUCCAGGACUGGUCCCCUGCCCCACUCCUCACCUCCAACAAGACCCCUGCAGCAUCCCCCACCCAGGCCCUGUCUGCAUCCUCUCCUUCCCUCUGGUCCCAGGAAUACCGAGUCAUGAGGGAGAUCCUGCUGCUCCAGGAGGCUGCAAAGAAUUACAAGCUAGAGCCCGAGGGAGCGAUUUGGGGCCUCGUUCCAGGACAUGGAGUUGCUCAACGAGAAUGAGAGGUGAGGCCGGGCAGGAGUUGGGUGAGGGCAGGGGUGGACUCUCCCUGUUGGCCAGUCCAGAGAGCCUGUCUCCAUGGUGCCCCACUCAUCCCCCGGCCUGAUUACAUGGUGAUCUCUGGGACACCCAGACUCCAGCUGCUGGGCAGGCAGUGGGGGGACCCCUGAGGUGUGGUUCCUGGUAGGCUCACAGGUGCCUCUCUGUCCUGUAGCUACACCUUGUCCUGCCAGCCAGAGCGUUAGACCUAGUUGGCCUGCAGAGUACGCAAGGCCAAGAAGAACCGGCCAUCAUCAAGGUCAGGGCCCCCAGGCCCCAACCCCGAACCCCAUACCAGUGGCCGAUCACAGCCCCAUCCUCAGCAGCGGGGACACAGCUGGGAUGCUUGCGAUGCACAGGGUCAGCUCCUCCCAUUUGAUGGGAAGGGGAGCAUUGUAAGCUGAUUCCUGGGGUCCCCUGAAGCCCAAGAGAGAAGGGAUGACCCCAUCCCAGCUCCCUGACAUCUCUACCUCAGCACCUACUCACCCAUUGGGGAGAGACAGUGGUUAUUUGUUGUAAAUAAUAAAUGACAUAUUUGAAUAUUAUAUUAAAGUCCUGUUCCCUUUACA